GACGAACGCUGGCGGCGUGCCUAAUACAUGCAAGUUGAGCGCUGAAGGUUGGUACUUGUACCAACUGGAUGAGCAGCGAACGGGUGAGUAACGCGUGGGGAAUCUGCCUUUGAGCGGGGGACAACAUUUGGAAACGAAUGCUAAUACCGCAUAAAAACUUUAAACACAAGUUUUAAGUUUGAAAGAUGCAAUUGCAUCACUCAAAGAUGAUCCCGCGUUGUAUUAGCUAGUUGGUGAGGUAAAGGCUCACCAAGGCGAUGAUACAUAGCCGACCUGAGAGGGUGAUCGGCCACAUUGGGACUGAGACACGGCCCAAACUCCUACGGGAGGCAGCAGUAGGGAAUCUUCGGCAAUGGACGAAAGUCUGGCCGAGCAACGCCGCGUGAGUGAAGAAAGUUUUCGGAUCGUAAAACUCUGUUGGUAGAGAAGAACGUUGGUGAGAGUGGAAAGCUCAUCAAGUGACGGUAACUACCCAGAAAGGGACGGCUAACUACGUG
rnacentral:rRNA from 1 species